rnacentral:lncRNA from 1 species
CACAACAACACACCACCGUCCUGCGUCAGAUUGCUUCUUUAUUUGGCGCCGCCGAUACCUCCGUCUCGGGCUGGUCCUUGAUAAUCUUCUCAGCCUUGCCGUUACCUGAACUUUCUCUCUCCUCUUUCGCUCUUAAGUCUGCAUCUUCUCUUUGAUCACACAAACCAACGAAUUCACAUAAUAAUAUACAUAGAGAGGGAAUUGAACAGAGACUUAUAGAGGGUGGGAAUGAAAGGAGAAGACCGGUAAACAUGAAGGAUGCAUAUUUCACGAUUUCCAAACCUUUCGAAAGCUCAAUUGAGCAAAGAAGAAGCUUUAUCCACCGACUUUCCGACGGCCACGUAUACCCUAUCACCCACUUAUUUGGAAAUUUCCGGCGAGGAGGAAAUCACUAGUGAUAUCAUCAUCCUUUGAUAAUUAUGUGGGAAAUUGGCCGGAGAAGAAAACCCAAAAAAGCAGUCUCCGAGAACAAAGAGUGAUCGAAUGAAUCUUCUAUAACUAGGGAUACAAGAUAGAUUUUGUAAUAUUGAUG